rnacentral:rRNA from 1 species
GAGCCUGCGGCUCAUUAGUUAGUUGGUGGGGUAAAGGCCUACCAAGGCGACGAUGAGUAGCCGGCCUGAGAGGGUGAUCGGCCACACUGGGACUGAGACACGGCCCAGACUCCUACGGGAGGCAGCAGCUAAGAAUCUUCCGCAAUGGGGGGAACCCUGACGGAGCGACGCCGCGUGGACGAAGAAGGCCGGAAGGUUGUAAAGUCCUUUUCCUGGGGGAGUGACGUGAACCAGGGAAUAAGCCCCGGCUAAUUACGUGCCAGCAGCCGCGGUAACACGUAAGGGGCGAGCGUUGUUCGGAUUUAUUGGGCGUAAAGGGCGUGUAGGCGGUGAGGUAAGUCUGGUGUGAAAUGUCCCGGCUCAACCGGGGAAGCGCGCUGGAAACUGUCUUACUUGAGUGAUGGAGGGGGAGCUGGAAUUCCUGGUGUAGGGGUGAAAUCUGUAGAG